UUAUAAUACGUGUCUCUUGAGUAGAGUCUAAUUCUAAUUCAAUUAGAAUUAUACUCCUAAUUAUAAUCCAUAUAUGCCGAAUUAAAUCUAAAUAAUAUCUAAUCCCAAUUAGAUUAGGAUUUAUCCUCAAUUUAGAUAACUACAAAUCUAAACCAAAUAUAACAAUCUCCACCUUGAUUUAAUUUGUAGUUUAGCCGCUUUUAUGUCGAGAUCGUCACAAACUUCACCUUGAAUUUAAUUUGCCUCAAUGCUCCUGUCACGCCCCGGGGCCGAUUUUAAAAGCCUUUUGAAAACAGAGUUGCGAAAAACGUGCCAUUUUUUUUUUCAAUCUGGCCCACGCGACGUACAGAUCCGCCACAAAUACAAAAUUUUCCUGUCCACUCGGACAGAGUCUCCUUUAUAUUUGCACGGCGUACCAGCUAUACAACAGGAUCUCAACCACAACCUACAUUUACCAAUCAGCAAUCAGUUCAUGACAUGCAUUCCCAUACAGCUAACGAUCCUUAGAAUGAUGCAUGCCUCUAAACACUCCUUAGGCGCUGGAUGAUGCAAUGCACAACACAACAAACAUCUUAUUUAAAAGUGCUCCCCACCCGGAAGCUUUAUUUUUUUGAAAUGUACUUCAUUCACAAAACCAUUCGAAAAUCCUUUUUAAAACGGUUUCCUACACGGAAACUCUAUUUUAAAAACCGACUACCUCGAGGGGUAGAAAACCACGAUUUCAUAAAUACAAGAAAAUCAAAACUCCAAAAUUCCAAGACCACAGAUCUAAAUAUCCAAUCUUAUGCAUAGUAGAAAACCAGUAUAACAGUUCACAACCAUUCACGCAUACAUAAGAUCGUCUAACUGAACCAUUUAUUAAGAAAACUACUAAGUGCGGGAAAGAAGUAAUCAGGGUGACGGUCGCUACUGCCGUCUAGCUAGAUCGUCCUCUCGACGUGCCCAAUACCAACUCCACGUCCGAAACACCUGAAGAAAUGGGGGGUGAGAAACCGCAACCAUGGUUUCUCAGUGGUACAAUAGAGCCACGAAGGCAAGCCGUAAUCACCGGAAACCAAAGAAAAUAGAUAAACAAAUAUAGAUGCUGAUAUGAAAAGUCUACAGUAGCUACAACAGAUAAAUAAGAAGCAAUAAACAAACCUGCUACUGUAUAGAUAACAAUGCAAAGAAUGCCUCAAAGUACUGAACAGAAACUGUACCCAAUCUGUGCCUGCUGUAUUGGUCCGCAGACCUCAAGCGCUGCCUGUCACUAACUGCACCGACCUGAUCCAUCCGCCCCACAGGACGACCCAUCCGGAUAAGUACACCUCCGAUCGUUGGCCAAACCGAUCCGGUGUCAUGAAUACCCCCAAGUGCCGUGACUAAGUCAUGCUGGUAUGCUCAAACAAAAACAAACCCGGCUAAAGCCGGUGCCUAAGCCGAAGCCAACAACGAGGGCGUACAACGCCGAACUGAAAUAGAUACUAGGGCGUACAACGCCGAACCUCGAUCAACCAGAUCGAAACACACGAUAAGAGAGUCGAUGUGUUGCCUGGACCCAAGGUCCACGGAGAUGCAAUGUACAACUACAAGCCUGCUCUACAUGUCUAUCCACAACUAUACAAAUGCAAUCAAUGAAAUACGAUAACCAAACAACUGACAUGUAGAGAUUACGAUACAGAAUGAAAGAAUAGAGGAAGGGUAAAACGGUCUCACCGACUACUAGCUCGAAGCACCCACCUGUCACUGUCGCGUCGAAAACCCGGGGUGCGCACAAUCAAUAACCGGACCUACGAAGAUCCACUAGGUCAGAACUAUCCCACAAAACCCAAAUAUACAACUCACAAACCCCCACACAGGAUCCCCGUAAUCGGUUUCCCAAAACCGAUUACCGUAACUCACCGAAAGUCCCGAAAACCACACCGGGACGCCGUCGGGACCCACUAAGUGUCCCGAACUCACCGACUCGUACAACGAGUCACCCGCUGCCCCAAAACAUUCCAAUUUGGAUGCCUUGGCAGCGAACACAAGGUCACACAACAAUACGAUCAUCGCCGGAUAAUCGUACGAAUCCGGGUUCCCAGAAGUGUCUAUUUCGACACCGGAACCCUCCGUCGCUCACCCAUCAUCACCGAACCCACUAAAUGACGAUAGUGAUAAGCCAACAAGGCUUAGCUACAACACAUAGAGCAAACAAACACCGUCGGAAAGGAUCCGAACCAAAAUCGCAUUCUUUCGGCGAAUUUCGCCGAAAAACGCACCGAAAUCGACUUUUCGAUUUCCGCAGGAGCAAACGGAUCAUGGACAAUCAGUUCAGGAGUCAAACACACUCACACACACUGCCCACAGUAGCCACACAAUGCACAAUUACAUAAAAGACCCUCUAAUUGCAUAAAAUCCCAUUAUUUUAUGUAAUUUGAGCGAUCAAGUGGUUCGUUCACGCAAAUCGAAAUUCCAAAGUCCGCAGAGACACGUACUAACAGGUCUCGACGUACCAGAGGCCGUGCUCACGAUCCGGAGCACAGCGGCUCGCUGUGGGAAGCGCGGGAGCAACCCGAAGGUUCAGCGAACAGCGCGCAGUCAAGGAAGAUCGCGCCGAACAGGACUUACCGGACACUUCUGAUCCAAGGAAAGGUGAGCACUGUGAUCAGCACUGACUAGCGGUCACCGUGCUCACCUCCGGAGGCAUCGGAACAAUCUCGGAUCGGCGAAAAAGCAAGCACAACACAGAACAGCAGCCAAAGAAAGGCUCCACAGGGUCGACACCGCAAAAACAGCGGAAUGGAGUCUCCCCGACAGAAACUAAGGUGAGCACGAUGAUCAGCAAUUAGCUACGAUCAUCGUGCUCCCUUCCAUACAGAUCGGGGAAGCUCGAGAAGCCCAGAACAACAAACAGCCCAACUAAGCCCUAUUUCAGGCUUGGCCGGAGCAACCUUGCUCCGGCCGGCCUCCGGCGGCACAGCGGCGCGCGCGGGGGCCAGGGGCGGACGCGGGGGAGGUGAGGAACACAGUGCUCAACUCGGUUGGCGACAGGAAGCGGCGGCGGCGCCGGCGGGGCAAGAUGAGCCCGCACGGGCUAGGGCACGGGUUCCGCGGCAAUGGCGGCCACGGCGGCGGUCGGGGCCGGUCGGGGACGGCGGAGGAGGGUUGCAGGAGGUAGGGGGAGGGCGGCACAGGUGGCUCAGGGCGGCGGCGGCGCCAGGAAAGGGGCUGCACACGGCUUCGGCUCGGGCUCGGGUUGGAGGGCUGCAGGCGGCUCGCCCGGCGGCAGCGGCGCUCAGGGCGGCUCGGGGCAGAGGCGGCAGACUGCCUGAGGUUGGGGAGGUGCCACAGGGGCGGCCCAGGGCUGCGGCGACGCGAGGAAGAGAUCGCAACAGGUCUCGGCCUGGGCUCGGGCUGGGCGGCUGCAGCCGGCCGAGGCGGCGGCGGCGGCGCGGUGGGGCGGCGGCGACCGGCGGUAAGGGGUGUCGAGGCUCCGUGGACGUCGGCGGGAGGGAUUCCAGGCGGCGGCGGCGCAGGAGGGAGGUCGCGAGUGGGUCUCGGCCAGGGCUCGGCUUGGGCUGGCAGAUGUGGCCCGGGGCAGCAGCGGCGGCGCAGGCGACGGCGGCGGUCGGCGGGGAUGAUCGCCGGAGCACGGGGCGACACCGAGGGAGGGUCCGAAGGUGGCGGCAGUCUCGGGUCUCCUCACAACCCGAGAGGAGAGAGGGAGAACGAAAGAAAGGGAGAGAGAGAGAAGUGGUGGCUGCGGCGGUGGUUGGCCGGCCGGGGCUCAGUCGGCGGCGGCCUGGGCGCGCGCAGCAGGUGCAGGGGAAGGAGAGGGAGGCGGCUGGGUGGUUGGCUAGGGCUAGGUUAGGGUUAGGUGGAACAAAACCCUAAAGAGCAACUAUAUAUACAAGGUACAACUUGCAAGAAAGCCCCUCAAACAUCAGUAAUUUGUACCGAGUCCCUCGCAGCACGACUAAAACGCACGAAUACCCCUCCACGUGCGAUCCCACGCGAAACGGUACAUAAAAUAUCGCGACUUUUGUGAAAAUACCGUUUUGCCACUACUGACCUCUCCUCGAUCAACGCGUAAUCUCCGCAGAUCCGUCCGUCAGAUUCGCGAACGGAUCAUACCAGUACGAUCAACACGACGGAGACAACAAAGCUGCGAUUUCGUUUCGGCUUGAUCGCCCACGGAUUCACGACAAAAUCCAACCUUCUUCCAGCAGAAGAAAUCACACACAUAAAUACAUAUAGAAUAUAUAUUUUUGGAUUUUCUCGAAAUCCGUGCGUCAAACUCAAAAUCCGUCAGCGCCACUGGUUCCAGAACAGCUGAACCGGUCGAAACGAGCUAUUGGACUGCUAUGAACGGAGUCCGGUACGAGCCAGAAGCCAACUUCCCACCGCGGCUUCUCCGGAAAAUCGAGUUACUAUUCACUUUAAGUGAAACUUGGAAAUCGCGUAGAAUUUUCGUUUUAACUCGUUUUCGCCCGAAACUUGACGAGUGCUUUUGUAAUUAAAUUACACACAAAAAUAUUGUCAACUGAGAGUUUAACUACACUUCAAAAAUCUCAGUUCGUACAGCUCCUUAACGCUCCAUACUCCGUCUUCUCCAAACGCCCCAUAGGGCCUCAAAUGCUGCUAACUACAUUCAAGUUCAAACAAUACUUGAACUUGGUAAUCGUAAGAGACUUAGUAAGCAUAUCCGCCGGAUUGUUCUCAGUACCAAUUUUCUUAACAGUCACUGUGCGUUUCCCAAUCACAUUCCGAACAAAGUGAAACUUUACAUCGAUGUGCUUUGUCCUCUCAUGAAACAUUUGAUCUUUCGACAAAUGAAUAGCACUUUGAUUGUCUGAAUAAAUAAUCGUUGGAUCCCAAUAAGAAGUAAGCUCUCCAAAUAAGUCUCUUAACCACAUAGCUUCCUUCACACCCUCUGUUAUAGUAAUAUAUUCCGCCUCCGUCGUAGACAAGGCGACAAUAGGUUGUAAUGAAGCUUUCCAACUAACUGCACAUCCGCCAAUAGAGAAUACAUAACCUGAAAGUGAUCUCCUCCUAUCCAAAUCACCUGCAAAAUCCGAAUCAUUAUAUAUGAGUUAGGUGAAGCUAUCCUGGUUGAGAAUCUCAUCUAAUUAUGUGUACAAUUUUGAGGUAAAAGUCUACAUGCCUAGCAUUGUAGCUUCUGCAAUUGUAAUGUAAAAGAGUUAAAAUAGGAAAAGUGCACCUUGUGCAUAUGCGUUCGUAUAAAAGAUUCCUUAUAUAGUAGAGGUAUAUACAUGUACUAAUUAAUCAACUUUAGGACAAAGAUGCAAGGAAUUUCGAGCCGUACACCUUUAAUUAAUUUGCUUUAGAAUUGGUUCCCUCUUAAAGUGGCAAGUAAAGAAUCAAAGUUUCCUAGCUUGAAUUUCUGAUUUCACCAAGUGGCAAGCCAAAUUAUAGACCAUUGAAGUCUGUCUGUCUCACCAAAAGUGGAGUGGAGAGUGAAUUCAUUUUUAGUAUAAAUGUUCACUUCUGUUGUUUGGCUCACCUCAUAUAACUUCAUUUUCAGUCGAUGCUUAAACUUUUCAAAACUCCGUAAUUGACUUCAGACUACUUUGGGCCGAAAUCAGUUGCGAAAAACAAAAGUGAGGAAAAAAAAUAAAAUAUUAAGUAUGGAAACUUUAGCUUUUAUGUCAUUAACUUUGUAAUGCCCCCAAUAGUCUCAUAUCGAAUGGAAUACUAACUCUGAUCAGUUUAUAUGAGGCCUAUAUGUUAGUAAUAAUAACUGGACUUAAACAUUUUGGGCCGGUGGUUUGAAUCGAACGAGUUAUUGUUGCUAGCGGAUUGGACCGUUACAAACUUUCUGCCAAACACAUAGCAAAACUCGAGAAAAAAAAUUAUUUUGAGAUUCUAGACUAUAUCCAGCAUAGGACUUCCGACUAAUAUUUGGCUUUAAUACCAAUUACAACGGCCCAACCCGCUAGCAAUAAUAACUCGUUGAACCCAAACUACUGACCCAAAAUACUUAAGUCCAAUUAUUAUUACUAGCAUGUAUGUCUUAUAUAUUCUAAUCCGAAUAAGUUUCCCACCUGAUGUGGGACUAGGACGUUACAGAAAAUAACUAAGUUUUAAUUUUAUUUUAAAUUUUUAUAAAACAAAUUAUGUUUCUCAAAAUUAAUUUACUAUUUUUUUAAAAAAAUAAAAUUAUCAGCAUGAAACGCAUGGGUCAGCAACCAAUUUAUUUUGAAAUUAAUUAGUCAAAUACUAUAUAAAUCAAAGAAUCGCCAACUCAACACCAUUAGUUUGCUUUAAAAUGAUUUUUUUUUUUUUCAAAAUUGCACGUAUAGAAUGAUACUUUCAUACCCAAAAAUAUAAUUUGUCUAGAGAGUUAAAAACAGGAAAUAAAUUUGGUAGGUAAUUACUAAAUCUAUCUCCAGAUCCAUCUCUUGUUUACUUGCUUUAGAAUUUGUUCCUUUCCAACAUAACAAGUAAGGAAUCAGACUCUUUUUUUCUUUUCUUUUUAACUCCUACCUGCCUAUAAAUACAUUCUAUUCUAGUUGUUCCCUUAGCAAGUUGAAAGCCUUAUACUCUCAUAUGGCAAGGAAGACCUAUACUAUGGAUUUGCCGAUACCGAGCUGAGUGAAUGAGCGCAUGAAGGAAUGUUUUGGAAAGCGGUAGGAAGAUACGGUGUUCGAUACUCGCCUAAAUGGACACAACCAGCCAUUUGGAUCUGUCUGGUGUUUUUUCUCCUUAACGCACAAAUAGGCAUUUAGUCAUUCGGAUUCUAUCUGGACUCUUCCUCCUUGACGCACAAAUAGACAUUUAGUCAUUCAGGUAUGCAUAUAUUUAAUUUCUUACAUAUUCUUACCACUUAUUGUUUGUUGUUUCGUUAUUUUUCUGAUUUUGUUAUUGGUUAUUGCAACUGAGGUUUAAGGCUUCUUUUUAUUCAAUAGGGAUUAAGUUUCUUAGAUAAUACAAUUAAUCGACUGUAAAAAAGAAACUCCUAACAAUAUAAGAUAACUAUUCAUUAAAAUCAAGCUUAGAAGGAAGGAAAUGAUAUUCUAAUGUGAUAUGUAAUUAAGAGAAUUUAUUAUGAUUAUAUGCCUGAACACAUUAUAUAUAAUAUCUAUUGGAUUUCGAAGGGAGUCAACACUCUAUUGCUUUAUUUUAGUUUUCCUUCGCAUUCUUUUAUGGCCUAAUUGUAAUCGCCAUUUACUUGUUCAUCCAAACUCACAACUCUUAAAACUUAGAUGAAAACUAUGCUAUAUGGUUUAUGAAACAAUAUAUAAUAGUGUUUUUUUAACAUAGCUUUCUUUUUUUCAACUAUUUGAUACUUUAGCAAUAGUUUUAAAAUCUAUAAUUUUUCAUGUCUAAACUAUGUAGGGUUCUAUAUAACCUUUGAGUGUGCGUGUGUGUGUUUGUGCAAGGAAAAAUUCUAGAAUGCAACAGGUAUAUUGAUGACGUGGCGUAACAAGCCAAUCAAAUAUCUCCUUUUAGAAAUAUAUGUUCCAUCAUAAUUAUAAAAAAAUAUUUUUAUUGUACUUUUAUUUGAAAAGAAGAAAUGUGAUUGGCUUGUUAUUGAUGACGUGGUGCAAGUGUGACAGUGUAGAAUUCCCCAUGUGAGAGAGAGAGAGAGAGAGAGAGGGAGGUAGCUGCUUCGUUUAAUUUGUUUUUAAAAAUGCGUCCAGCUAGAAAUGCAAAAUAAUUAGGCUUCGUUCAGUUUGGAUAUAAAUAAAAAUGACUUAUUUCAAAAAUAAAUAUAAAUUUAGAUAUAAAUAAGAAACUAGACCAAUUUUACAUUUAGAUGAAAAUUGGUUGUUUUUAAAAAUAAGAAAAAUUACGUUUGGAUAGAGAAAUAGAAUAAGAAAAAUAGUAAGUAGUUAUAAUGUCACGCCCCGGGGCCGAUUUUAAAAGCCAUUUUGAAAACAGAGUUGCGGAAAACGUGCCAUUUUUUAUUUUUUUUUUCAACCUGGCCCACGCGACGUACAGACCCGCCACAAAUACAAAGAUCCUCUGUCCACUCGGACAGAGUCUCCUUUGUAUUUGCACGGCGUACCAGCUAUACAACAGGAUCUCAACCACAACCUACAUUUACCAAUCAACAACCAAAGUAUGAU
rnacentral:lncRNA from 1 species